CAGGGGUGAUGGACUCUCUAGUGUCAGGAGAGAUGUGUGUAUGUUUAUGAUUGCAAGCAGAUGCAGCAUCCCUGAGUCUGGAAUCACUUCCACCCGUGCUUCCCCGGGCUGCAGAACACCAUGAUUCAUUCUGCAUAUCAGCAUAGCACGGAGCUGAUGCCUUCAGUGUCUGUCUGCUCCACGAUGCUCAGUUAUCUGCCUGCCCCGAGCUAUCCAAAGGGAUGGAUUUGCAUGGACACUGCUUCCCGUGGAAGGGAAUGCCAGGAAUGACCGGUCUGGUACUACCUGCCCAGCAUUUCAGUGCCCAGCUCCACAUUAGCCAGGC